AGAGUUCCUCCCACACAAUCUUUUGCAUUCAGUCAGGGGGAUAUAACCCAGAGCUGUAAGUACAAGGCACAUAGAAAGAAAGAGCGUACAGAGUUUUCAAGAUGAAGUCCCUACUUAUCGUCGUUCUAUUUUUGGCUCUGGCAAGGGAAGUCACUGGACAGCGCUCAUGUGUGUAUGAAAAGAAAUACAGAGAGACAUAUCUUAGUGGCGAGAGGACGAAGGACGGUGAAUGCUAUUGCAUGGAUGGAUAUAUCGAUUGCCAACCCAAAACACUGGACAUGUCCUCGGCCCGCUUCGUAUCCAGAGACCGAAUUCCCCAAAAAUAAUAAAGGUUACAUGUAAUGCAAUGCACAAAGAAUCACCAGACAAGUUUCCUUCAACGAAUAAAGAAAAUGUAGAAAUCAAUUAAAAAACAAACACACAAUUAAAACUAUUGAAUAAAUGUAAAACCUACAACCAAA